UACGUAGGUGGCAAGCGUUGUCCGGAUUACUGGGCGUAAAGAGCGCGCAGGCGGUCGUCCAAGUCGCGUGUGAAAGCCCCCGGCUCAACUGGGGAGGGUCACGCGAUACUGGUCGACUCGAAGGCAGGAGAGGGUAGUGGAAUUCCCGGUGUAGUGGUGAAAUGCGUAGAUAUCGGGAGAACACCAGUGGCGAAGGCGACUACCUGGCCUGUUCUUGACGCUGAGGCGCGAAAGCUAGGGGAGCAAACGGG
rnacentral:rRNA from 1 species